rnacentral:miRNA from 1 species
CGCGGCGCCCGGAACUGGACCCAAGACUCCAGCUGAGGCUUGGUCGGCGCGGAGCGGAGCGGGAGCACGACUCCUCGUGUCU